GAAACGCUGGGCUGGAAGAAGCACAAGGUGGAAUCAAGAUUGCAGGGAGAAAUAUCAAUAAACUCAGAUAUGUAGAUGACACUACCCUUAUGGCAGAAAGUGAAGAGGAACUAAAAAGCCUCUUGAUAAAAGUGAAAGAAGAGAGUGAAAAAGUUGGCUUAAAGCUGAACAUUCA